CCCAACUCACCUCUCGCAAUAUGAGUUGAUUUUUUUGAAAGAUAGAAAUAAAAACAUCAAAAUACCAAAAGAUGUCAUAUGGUGGAACUCAGGUGUCCUUUCCUUUGAUUCAGUACAGCUAUCAUCAAAAUCUCUUGUUCUGCUGAAAUACAUGUAUAUGUCAUGCAUGAUGUUAUCAUGAAAUGUGCAUGUUUGCCUUAAAUGCCUUUAUGCCUACAUGAUCAUGCUAUGUGCCUUGGGCUUGCUUGUCAUAUGUCCUUUUUCGUCAUGAUUUUUGAUGAUCUGCGUUCAUUGCUUUGACUCUUGACUUUCUCUUCAGGCCCUGUACCCAUCCUCUAGCUUCACGACUAAUCUGCGUUUCUCAGAUAUCGCUCUUUUGCCCCUGGUUGAACUUUGUCCUUGCUUUGAGGCUCUUGUACUUAUCAAAUUCUUGUCCGGGUAAUGCUUAGCACUUCUUUUGUUUAGA
rnacentral:lncRNA from 1 species